GUCUACAGCAUGCCACCCUGAAUGUGCCUGAUCUUGUCUGAGCUCAAAAGCUAACCAGGGUCAGGCAUGGCUAGUACUUAGUACUUGAAAGAAUGAAUGUUUACU
rnacentral:rRNA from 1 species